rnacentral:tRNA from 1 species
GGUGGUGGCUCAGAGGUAGAGCGCUCGCCUAGAAUGCAUGAAGCACUGGGUUGGAUUCUCAGCACCA